AACUAGUUAACAUAAUUGGUAAUGUAAUAGAUUGCAAAUCUAUCUUUAUGGGUUCAAUUCCCAUACUAGUUU
rnacentral:tRNA from 1 species